rnacentral:misc_RNA from 1 species
UGUUGCGCUGGCGCGACGGCCGUGAAGGAUCAAAAGAAGACGAAGAGAAAGGACGAAAAAAAAAAGUCUCGCAAUCUACCACUCCCGUCGUGGCUCGCCGCGAGAGUCCGUCGUGCGUUCGCCACCGAGUCGGGUGCUAGGAGAGGACGCGAGGGAGUAUUUCUCUGAAAUUUAUUCCCAGUUGAAAAGGUUUUUUACUCUCUCCUACCGUCGCGGGCUUCGGACUGCCUGCACGCUCCGUGCGUCCCUCGAAGCCUUCCUCCUGCACCACGUUGUCGUCGUUUAGAGCCGCUGCGCUACAUUUGACGGAUUAACGGAUCGGCGGGCGUGCCUUUGGAUUUCGUUGCACCGGCUGACCGGUGUUACACAUUUAUAAGUGUUUUUUUCUUCUGCCUACUUCGCAUCUUCCGGUUAUUUCACCGUGCGAAGCGUCUGCUGCUCGUUUCAACGGGGACGACCGGCAGUGCCGUGUUGACAGUGUGAUCAACCCGCUGGAAGCUACUCUACUGAGGACAACGGGUCGGCAGUUAUUGAGGAGCGUCGUGCCGUGACGGAGACGGCUUCACGCAGUGCCCUUUGAGCUGCCAACAUGCCCGACUCUAAGCCGGACGCCAACGCCAAGACGCCCAUGUUGGGCGGGGGUGGAGGGCCAGCAGGAGUCAUCCGGUUAACAGAGCCGCCCCGGGGAAUAUGGGGCAAGAUCGGGGCAUGGAUGAAGACAAACCUCCUGCUGGUGCUGACCAUAGUGGGCGUCCUAUUGGGUCUCCUGCUGGGAUUCAUGGCGCGGUUCUUUCAGUAUGGCGAGGACGUCAUCAUGCUCGUCUCCUUUCCGGGAGAGAUACUCAUGGGCAUGCUCAAAAUGCUCAUUCUGCCCCUCAUCAUAUCGUCCAUGAUAUCAGGGUUGUCGAUGCUCGACCCAAAGUCGAGUGGGAAGAUGGGCUCUCGGGCCCUGGUGUACUACUUCGCCACCACCAUCUUCGCUGCCAUUGUGGGCAUCAUCAUGGUGUCCGUCAUCCAUCCCGGUGACCCGUCCAUCAAGGAGGAAGUGGGCACCGGCACUGAGGACAAGAAGGUCUCCACGCUCGACGCAUUCCUGGACCUCGUCAGGAACAUGUUUCCUGAGAACCUACUGCAAGCUUGCUUUCAACAAGUGGAGACAACGUAUGUAAAAGAGAAGCCGAAGCCCCGUUUCAUACACCCCGACGAAAUGCUUAAUGCCACCAACGCGAGCACCUACGUGCUGAAGCGGACGCUGCAGUUCAAGGAUGGAACCAACGUUCUCGGGCUCAUCGUCUUCUGCAUCGCCUUCGGCAUCAUAGCGGGCCAGAUGGGACCAGAUGCGGAACUUAUGGUGCAGUUUUUCUCCAGUCUGAACGAAAUCAUCAUGAAGAUCGUCGUCCUGGUCAUGUGGUAUUCCCCGUUCGGUAUCAUGUCUCUGAUCAUCGGCAAGAUCAUGUCCAUCAAGGACUUGGCGCUGACGGCGCAGCAGCUCGGUCUCUACAUGCUGACCGUAAUCACGGGCCUCCUCAUCCACGCCUGCAUAACAUUACCGCUGAUCUACUUCCUCAUCACCCGGAAGAACCCGGUCACCUUCUUCAAGGGCAUGCUCCAGGCAUGGAUUACUGCGCUCGGCACAGCAUCGAGUGCGGCUACGCUUCCGGUGACGUUCCGGUGCCUGGAAGAGAACAACCACAUAGACAAGCGGGUGACCCGGUUCGUGCUGCCCGUCGGCGCAACCGUCAACAUGGACGGCACGGCGCUGUACGAAGCCGUCGCCGCCAUUUUCAUCGCACAGAUGAACGGCAUCAACCUUUCCAUCGGGGAGGUCAUCGCCGUCAGUUUGACGGCCACGGCUGCCAGUAUUGGCGCAGCCAGUGUACCCAGCGCGGGUCUCGUCACCAUGCUGCUGGUGCUGACGUCCGUGGGUCUGCCCACGGAAGACAUCUCAAUGAUCGUCGCUGUCGACUGGAUGCUGGACCGUAUUCGCACGUCCAUCAAUGUCCUCGGCGACGCCUUUGGCGCGGGGAUCGUGUAUCACCUGUCCAAGGGGGAGCUGGACAAGAUAGACGCCGAACACGCCCGGCUCGAGCUCGAGAUGGGCGAGGCCGGCCGCAAGGGCUCCUACAUGCGGCGACCCAGCGGCAUCGCGGCUCCGGGAUCCUCGGCGCCGCCGGACUACGGGGCGAAUCCCGGAGGACAGAACUUCGUCAGCGGCGAAGGAAACAGCGAAACGCAGAUCUAAGAAGCGGCCUAGAAGAGGCUGCGGCCGCGAAAAUGGCGGAACGGGCCAUGUUCGAGUUCAGGCCAACUUACACGCCUUCCUGUUCCCUCCUGGGCGCCCCGAUAGAAGCCGCCGUGACGUCACCCGAGGAGUGCGCAUGGUGGCAACUUACAGCUUUGAGAAAAAUGUCUGCCUCCUCUACACGCGAGCUUUCUUUCCGCAACACUAAUCGUCGUAAUGGAGUAUUUUGCCGCAGCGCUACCGUUCCAAUACUUACCGGAACCACACUGCUCACGCGGAAACGGCAGCAGGCGGUAUCGGUGACAAUGAAACGGUAACGCUACGCUGAAAUAGCCUCAUUUCUGCACGUGCUCCCCGUCAAGACCCUGUGCAAGCGAACGUCGCUUUCUUGUAGAUAAAUGCGCCCGCGUGUAAGCGCUAGCGGCCGUCAAAAGGGAUUCACGCAGAUCCAUACACAGGGUUGAGCUCAUGCACGUUAAUUAUGACUAAGCUGUGCAAAGAAAGCUCGCCUCUAUGAGGGUGCAACUUUCGGGAGUGCUUUACGCAGUCUUGGUCGGAGGACUCCGAAAGAAAAGUCUGCCUGACGUGCAGAAGCGCUCUGAGAACUUGAGUUCUUGCUGCACACGGCCUUCUUCGAGUGUUGAGCCUGCGCCGUUGAGGUGAAAGCCCGUGGACAAUAUGAAGAUCGCCACUCGUUGUGAUUCUCCGUCGAACGGAGCCCGAAGUGACUGGCAGAAGUUUUGAAGGUGUUGGAAAAAUUUACAACAAAUAGAGCCUCACCCGUAACACUCAAUUGAAGACAGGAAAAGUAGUGGUUAAAGGCGUGCUGCUCACCUCAUGGCAAAUCGUGUGUUGAGACUAAAACUAAAGCACGAUGAUGCUGCGAAAUUUUCAUUUAUACAUUCUAAGACAUUUUAUCGAUUCUUGGUCAACGUCGUUUCAGUUUUCUCUUUUUUUUACUACGCUGGGCUUUGGAAUGUAGGAAAUUGCGAGCUAGACGCUAGCCAUUUACUAUGUUCAUUGUAUACACAGUCGGGUGUCGGUUGAGAUGUUAUGACUGCUGGAGCAAGAGCUGAAUUCAGUGGUCGCGUGGAGGCUUCAAUACAAGGUACUCGUGUCAUCCACUAAGCCCCAGGAGAAAGUGAACACAUGAGAUGGUGACAUAUCUUUCUUCAGCUUCAAAACGAUAUGAAAGUCACCAUAUAAGUGGCUUUAGGCAGUCACAAGUGAAGUUGCGCAUUGAUGUAAGCAAGAAACUCUCUCAGUUUGUUUUCUAGUUCACAAAAAAAGUCGGCAUGCGAGAAGGUUCAACACUGAACGCCUAGCUGUAACAAGCCUCUUGUCACUUCGGGCUUCAUCUUCUACGGAGAGCACGCGAGCAGAUCUGCGCUGACAAUGCGUCAUCGUGACGUCAGCCCUUUCAUUAUUGCUGUCUCUCUUCGUGUCACCCUUUUUUCUUCCCCUUCUUUUGUACGUACGUAUUCGUUCCGCACUUACCGAUCCGACAAACACCUCGUGCUGUACCAUUCGCCAAGAUUCUAUCGCAUAUAUGUUGGAAGCCGUUAAGCUUCAUCGUAAGCGUAUCAUCAUGGAUUUCAUCGCUAGAACCGAACCAAGCAGCUUACCUUAUCAAGGCCUUUCCUCCGACGGACAUUUUCCUACCGUCUACGGCUGCUGCACGACAGCCGCUGCCCAUCACAGCAGCGGCUCUUGAGCAGUUAACGCCACCAUCAGAAGAUAGAUAUCACUGUAUUCGACUUGUAUCGGCACUUGUCGGCGGUUUUUUCAUCAAGCUUCCACCAUCAUUUCGUUAAGAACUAUCUCCAUCCUUUUGACCAGCGCUUCAGCUUCAGCACACACUGCUGUCGAUAUGAACAUGUCGUGUCCAUCUAAUCGCCAUCUCAAUCGGAAGAGCAUGUUAAACCUAACUUCGUACUCACAUUGCAUGCCUCGUCCCAUACGUCAACACUUUUCAGUCCCAUACGCAUACGAGCUUUGACUGAACCACCCAGCCGCUACAUCAUUCUUGAGAGUAGCGUGUCAAGCGAGCUUUAUGGAAUGACGCCACCGCAUCAAUGUUGCACACCAAACGCGAUUAGCAGAGAUCAAGCAUAGGACACUUUGCAAUGAUGUAUCAUUCUCGCAGCAUGGAAAACACCAUUUGGAAGGCGCACAUUAGGUGCUGUACAGCUAGUCGCUGUACGGGUCCUUUUUAAAGCGUUCGCGCGAUCAGAUGUACACGUCUUGAGUUCAAGAAAGCGCACGUCCACGCGAGACCUUGCAAGCCCGGUGAAACGGUGCGUGGAUGUGCGUUGUAUAUAUUUCGUUUUCUCUCGUAGCUUGAAACCCGGUGUGCUAGCCUAGGGCCUCCUCCUUUCGGAGUUCCUCAAAAUAAAGAAGAUCCCGGAGAAUCCGAGCGUCCCAAGCGGUGGCAGGCGAACCAGGGCCGUACCCCGAGGAAGCACGAACCGUCUGUGGGCUAGAAACGGCCGCACUUGACAAAUCGAGAUCGCAGCGCUACUUAUAGAACACCUUGGGGCGCGGUGUGGGGGAGUCGCGAGGUCGCAGCCGCGAAUCCAAUCGCCGGCAGCGAUAGAGAGGCGUGAUGGCCGCAGUUUGAGCGUUUCCACAAACGCACUAAGCCUGACUGUAGAUUUGCGCAAAUCAUCUCUACAUUCUCUCUGUCAUUGGCCUUUAAUCGUUUCUUGUGCACUGCAACAUGAAAACUAGAUUGGAGACCUAUUCUAAGAUGCCCAUGGUAAAUUUUUAUCCUCGCGAUAUUUUUUUCUCUAAGGUACCCGGGCUUUGGUUCCAGGGCCGUGUGCUGCUAGUGGGAUUAUUUACGCUACGUCAUUCUCGGCGGAGCUUACAAGCGACAAAAAAAACACGCAAGCAUGCUUCGAUCCCCAAAGUUAAUUUUCACUGAUAACAUCUGCGAUAUCAUCUAGGCUGCAUUGUCACACAAGCGAAAUUCGCUUUCAUAACUGAGUUGUAUUGCACCAGUAGUUAAAUGACUUGCCGGGCACCUGGCUGCUGAAGUUUAAUGCAUAAGACAUGAAAUUAUUUCGCUUGAACUAAGGCGACGUCUCUUGAGAAGUUGUCUUUUCGUAUUUCACAUUGCCGUUCUCUUGUAAGCACAAAAUUAGGGCAUACGACUUAAGUGCAAAUACAUUCCUCAAGUAUUCGAGAACUACUGCAGCCCUGAGGUCCUACCCGGCGUACCGGAAGCCAACGGCUUGCGAGCUCGCAAAUGAUGCACCUUCCGCCCCUUUGUUCUUUGCAUCCGGUACUUUUCUGUCGUGGCUCACUCCAGUAACGUGGAGAAAGAAGGCUGUGGCGAGCUCAGCGACCGAGCGACCCCGCCUAGUAACUUCCUGGCCAACUUCCAAACACAAGAUACGGCGGCUCGUCCUCCACGUACGGACGAGUUUGUUUUCAUCAGAUGACCUUCAAAACAACAUUUUCAGCUUGAACGAGCCGUGGCGUACAAGGUCAUAUCUCGAGGUUCUGUUAUAUGUUAUGUGAUUACCUCUAUAUUCCAUUCCCUUUCGUUUCGUUUUUCAAGGCCGACUUACGUGACACCCUCUGGAAGAUAUCGGUGUGGUUACGUAGGGUACAAGCGUUCCGAGUUUUGAGUAAUAGGCACGCAUGCGUCAUACCAUAGAUCACCCGUCAAGCUACAUCUAAGUAACUAUUCUGCUUGGCAGUGAUUGUGGACCUUUAAAUACCAAACUUGUGCGUUUCAAUGCUAUCCUUUCUGAAUGACACUAAAGGGCGCGCAAGGCAAGUGCGGUCACAUGCCGAAGCAAGCACUCGUCAUUAAGGAUCACUACAAAAUGUUCUAGGGGCUUCUUGAAGAACAAUGCGACUUGUCGGAAAUCACUGUGAUUACGUUUUGCUGUGUUCUCUUUUCUCUACGCUUCCUAACAAAAGAUAUGCAGCUCUCGCAUCAAAAUUCAUACCGGUAUAGGUUGGAGAAGAUGAACGCAUGUUAAGCGAUGGGCGCUUGAGGAACUUGACUGUAGUUCCACAGUUUAGCUGCGGAACAAGAUGCCAGUGUGCUCCAAGUGUCUUGUAAGGUCACCUGCGUGGCCCUUCGAAAAAAACUUCGUUUUAGUGCAUUGACAAGAAUAAGUGUUUGUUCAUUUCUACACGGAACCCUAGACAUUUGCCUUCAUGCGUGUCUAGAGCAAGCAACAACUGAUGACGCAACUUUUCAGGAGGCACAUCAAGAGCUGCAAAACUUGCAAUCUUGCACCCUCUGACGUGGCUCCAUCAUUGCUGCUUGUUUUUUAUUUUGUCCCUCGUGCAAUAGCUUCGUGAAUUUCUCUGGACUGUUUGUGUUACAUUGUUAGGUAUUCGUUAUUACAUGCCCUCUUCGUUCAUUCGUUACUGCCAGCAGGAUGGACGUGAAAUAUCCCCUUUCUUUGUGUACGCUGCUAGGUGAUCUUUGCGAACCACUUUAAUUAAACUAUUCAAAAAAAGGGGCGAACUUCGUGCCGCGAAGAGAACAUUUACGGAAGGAAGGGUGUUCAGCUGGGAUCGCUGACACAUUUGAACUUAGGGUUAACUACACUUGGACGGGAAAAAAGGAGGUAGCAGAAACCUGAUAAUUUUCACUCGCGUUGGCCACCUUUCUUGUCCAGUCCUCGCGCAGUUCACCCGAAGUUCUAGCUUCAAGGGUAAUUGCGCAACUUCAGUGAGUCUUUUGCUUUGCUCAUUUUUUAACAAAAAAGCUAUUUCAGAAAAAAGACGUCCGCUGUCACGAAAGUGUUUGGUGGUUAUGAUUCUCCCCUCAGACGACCCUUUACGCCAAUCUGUUAUCGCUUCAAAGUUGUAGCCUUGCUUCGACAUGAAAUUCAUGACUCCAUCUUCACAUAGUAUAAACUCAUCAUCACUCAUUGGAUGUGCUGCCUUUAGCCCCAUGUGUUAAUUCCCUUCGACCCAUGUUUUUCUUUUCAAUACCAGUGUGCAGUCGAUGCACAUGGUGGUGUUUCCGUAACCGGUGCGUCUUACAAGAUUGUACUUGAACGCUUGUAUGGAUGAGGUGCUCUCGUCAGUGUGUUAGCAGUCAUGUUUUAUUGCUUCGAACCACUGCAUGUUCUGUAGUGUAAAAUUGCGUUUUAUAAGUGCUGUAGACUUCGCGUGUACUAAUGCAAUUUAAUGAGUAAGAAAUUUUAUUAGAGUCUAUGACAUUGACAUUUCCUUUUUUUGCGCGGUCAAUGGCAUGGUAAUUCGAACAGCUUACACUUCAAGAUCAAUGCGAUCUUUUGCAUAACAUAUUUUCCGAAGAAUAGAAAGACAUUGAUAUUGAAAGAUAUUGAGCUCCGCAACCUUUUCUAAUGAACACUAACACAGAAAUAUCUAAUGAAUGAAACGCCUUAGCAAGCUGCCGUUAAUGAUCAUUACUUGUAGAAAACAUUAUACGCCACACCACCGCGUCAUCUAGUUAGUGUUACCCGCAUGUACACAAAUAUGUCAUAAUAUUUCUGCCAUCUUUACGGUGUGGCUUAAUUUUAUCUUAACAUAUUUCUACUUUGUACUAUAGUUCGCGAGGAACACUAGACAAAGCUACAGGUGACGCAUGAACCCUCAGGUUUACACAAAAAUAAAAACUAUUUUCGCAGAAUUUACAAAAGUUUUAUAAUUCGUUUUUACAUUUUAACAUGUCACUUAACGUUAUGCAUAGGUAAUGAUCAACAACUGCUUUCUUGCAGGACAUGAACCAUCUUUUUUUUUCUGUCUCGACAACUGCCUUAAAUGUGUGGUUAUCAAAGUACCGCGUUUUAUCGCAGAUGAUCAUCCGCUUCGGUUUUCUUGUGUUCUUUUGUGUUUAUUUCGUGGCAUAGUUUUAGCAACAUGAUUCUGUACACAACGGAAAAAUUAAAACCAUUCAUUGAAUUAAACAAUAAAAUGCUGUUUGUUUUGUUC